rnacentral:snoRNA from 1 species
AUUCCGUGAUGAGGCCACUCCCUUUGGUAUUCCUUAAAUCGAUCCCAAACCUCAAAUAGCGAUUCAUCACGCUUUUGCUCGAAGGAUUGAAUUUUGUGCCGAUACU